rnacentral:rRNA from 1 species
AACGAACGCUGGCGGCAUGCCUAACACAUGCAAGUCGAACGAGACCUUCGGGUCUAGUGGCGCACGGGUGCGUAACGCGUGGGAACCUGCCCUUAGGUUCGGAAUAACUCCCCGAAAGGGGUGCUAAUACCGGAUAAUGUCUUCGGACCAAAGAUUUAUCGCCUUUGGAUGGGCCCGCGUUAGAUUAGCUAGUUGGUAGGGUAAAAGCCUACCAAGGCGACGAUCCAUAGCUGGUCUGAGAGGAUGAUCAGCCACGCUGGGACUGAGACACGGCCCAGACUCCUACGGGAGGCAGCAGUGGGGAGUAUUGGACAAUGGGCGAAAGCCUGGUCCAGCAAUGCCGCGUGAGUGAUGAAGGCCUUAGGGUUGUAAAUCUCUUUUACCCGGGAUGAUAAUGACAGUACCGGGAGAAUAAGCUCCGGCUAACUCCGUG